GCCUGGGUGGCUCAGUGGGUUAAGUGUCCGACUUCAGCUCAGGUCAUGAGCACAUGGUCCGUGGGUUCCAGCCCCACACCGGGCU
rnacentral:tRNA from 1 species